CAAUAGCGUAUAUUAAAGUUGUUGCGGUUAAAAAGCUCGUAGUUGGAUUUCUGCUGAGGACGACCGGUCCGCCCUCUGGGUGAGUAUCUGGCUCGGCCUUGGCAUCUUCUUGGGGAACGUAACUGCACUUGACUGUGUGGUGCGGUAUCCAGGACUUUUACUUUGAGGAAAUUAGAGUGUUUCAAGCAGGCGCACGCCUUGAAUACAUUAGCAUGGAAUAAUAAGAUAGGACCUUGGUUCUAUUUUGUUGGUUUCUAGAGCUGAGGUAAUGAUUAAUAGGGAUAGUUGGGGGCAUUCGUAUUUAACUAUCAGAGGUGAAAUUCUUGGAUUUGUUAAAGACGGACUACUGCGAAAGCAUUUGCCAAGGAUGUUUUCAUUGA
rnacentral:rRNA from 1 species